UACGUAGGGCGCAAGCGUUAUCCGGAAUUAUUGGGCGUAAAGAGCUCGUAGGCGGUUUGUCGCGUCGGCCGUGAAAACCUGGGGCUCAACUCUGGGCGUGCGGUCGAUACGGGCAUCACUUGAGUUCGGCAGGGGAGACUGGAAUUCCUGGUGUAGCGGUGAAAUGCGCAGAUAUCAGGAGGAACACCUGUGGUGUAGACAGCUUACUGGACCAUUUCUGACGCUGAGACACGAAAGCGUGGGUAGCAAACAGG
rnacentral:rRNA from 1 species